UAUGCUUUAGUAUAUGAUGUAUUAGAGUUUUUGAUACUCUAGGGGGUAGUUUAAUUCUAUCAAGUAUAA
rnacentral:tRNA from 1 species